AUGUCGAUGGUGUUCCUUCAAACAGAAAAUUGUAAAUUCCAAGCUAUAAAAUCGAUAGUUUUCUGUCCUUGUUUUUUUUUUUUCUUUUUUCAGAUGGCACUUAAGAAUUGCAUUGAGUCUCCCACCUGUGAUUGCAUUCAACCCACACUAUUGAUGAAUUGGAAGUAUAAUCUACUCGAGUUCUCUCAUUAUCUGCAAAAUAAUAUGAUUGAACUCCAUUGGUUCUCCAGUCAACGGCACUGCCAGCCACUUCCUUUGGAGGCACGCAGAAACAUCUGAGCCUGUUGCUGGCUGGUACAAUGACAGCUACUGGGUAAGUUCUGGGGAAAGCAAACCUCUUGCAAUGCCCAAGAAGUCCAGCCUAGAGGCUCGUCCUGCUGAAUAUAUAAAAGGGACCUCUAUUGCGAACUCUGGGCUCAGUGAUGGGGAAGCUCCUAUCUGGAGCUGAGAGUGAAUGUCUCUGACUACAUGGUCCUGGAGAACACUUACCCCCCAUUCCCAAUGGGGAAGAACCUCCAUUAGUACAACACAUGGGUCUCUUUCCCCUCCCUCUGAAUCUCUUCUGCUUUUCUGUUUGGUACAUGCAUGGCUUACCUCUUUCUGUCUUCUCACUCUGUGUGUAAUUUUCCAUUACUGUAUAACAAGUUACCAUAGACUCUGUGGCCGAAAAUAACACCUGCUGACUCACUCACAGUUGUGUAAAUCAGAAGCAUGGAACGGCGUUGCUGGCCUCUGCUCUGGAUGCCACAAGACUCAAGUCAAGGUGCUGACCAGGCUGAGGCCUUGUCUGGAGGCUUUUGGGAAAUAGCUGCUUCCAAGCUCAUCAUUUUGCUGUCAUUGUUGGCAGGAUUUAGUUCCUCAUGGCUCUGGGACUGAGGUGUCCCUUUCCCUUACUGUCUAUAAGGAAUCUCACAGAGUCUGUGGCAUUCCUUGCCACAGGCUUCCCUCCCUCUUCAAGCCAGCAGCAGCAUGGUGAAUCCUUUGACUUCCCUGUCUCUGACCUCUAGACUACGUUUUCAAGGGCUCCUGGGAUGAGCACAGGCCCAUCUGGAUAAUUGUCCUAUCAUAAUAUGACCAACUGGCUUUGGAUCUGAGUUAUAUUUGCAAAAUUCCUUACAGCAAUAAUAGCGUGGCUAUCCAUUAUAUUAGUGUUGCUUGAAUGACUGGGGGAAGCAAUGUAUAUGUUCCCCAAGAG
rnacentral:lncRNA from 1 species